rnacentral:rRNA from 1 species
ACGGAGGGAACUAGCGUUGUUCGGAAUUACUGGGCGUAAAGCGCGCGUAGGCGGCUUUUUAAGUCAGAGGUGAAAUCCCGGGGCUCAACCCCGGAACUGCCUUUGAAACUGGAAAGCUAGAAUAUUGGAGAGGUCAGUGGAAUUCCGAGUGUAGAGGUGAAAUUCGUAGAUAUUCGGAAGAACACCAGUGGCGAAGGCGACUGACUGGACAAUUAUUGACGCUGAGGUGCGAAAGCGUGGGGAGCAAACAGG